UAACCAGCUCCUUCCCCCUCCUCCCUUUCACCCGUCCAACUAUCCAAGGAGUGAGGAAGGCCACAAUCAGCAACUGACCUGUAAUACCUUACCUAGCUAGGUGUAGUUUGUUUGAGCCAAGAUGUUGGCGGUGUUCAGCGGCGAGGUGGUGGAGGUGCCGGCGGAGCUGGUGGCGGCCGGGAGCCGGACGCCAUCGCCCAAGACACGGGCGUCGGAGCUGGUGAAGCGCUUCCUCGCCGGCAACGACCCGGCCGUGUCCGUGGAGCUGGGAUCACUGGGCAACCUCGCCUACUCCCACGCCAACCAGUCCCUCCUCCUCCCAAGGUCUUUCGCUGCAAAGGAUGAGAUCUUCUGCCUGUUCGAGGGAGUCCUGGACAACUUGGGGCGGUUGAGCCAGCAGUACGGCCUCUCCAAGGGCGGCAACGAGGUGCUCCUCGUGAUCGAGGCCUACAAGACGCUGAGGGACAGAGCCCCCUAUCCCGCCAGCUUCAUGCUCUCCCAGCUCACCGGCAGCUACGCCUUCGUGCUCUUCGACAAGUCCACCUCCUCCCUCCUCGUCGCAUCCGGCCCUGAGGGCAAGGUGCCGCUCUUCUGGGGAAUCACCGCCGACGGCUGCGUCGCCUUCUCCGACGACAUCGACCUGCUGAAAGGAUCUUGCGGCAAGUCACUGGCGCCUUUCCCGCAAGGUUGCUUCUACUGGAACGCUCUUGGAGGCCUCAAGUCGUACGAGAAUCCCAAGAACAAGGUCACCGCUGUGCCUGCAGAUGAGGAGGAAAUCUGUGGUGCAACUUUCAUGGUGGAAGGGUCUACCGUUGUCGCGGCACUUCAGUAGGAGAUUCUCUCGUCUCCGUCGCUGGGCAAAGCAGGCAAGGCCGUUCUCCUGUAUAUGGUGGUGGUGUAAUAUAAUGCAACAAGGCGCGUGUGCUACUCUCUUUGUGAUCUUAUGUGAACUGUUCGGUUGUGUAUCUGAUCAUCUGUAUCUCUAGCUGUUCAAAUUCUCGCAGUGGAUUCAAGACCGGCCGUCUUCAGUUGGAUGUAACAAUUAAUGUAGUAGCAACCAAAUAAGCUUUCUUUCUUUCCAUCUAAAAAAAGGCUUUCUCGAUCUCUGUUGUUAUGCGUGUACCAUUGGGC
rnacentral:rRNA from 1 species